CCUAAUUCCCCAGAAUUGAUUUUCUUCAACAGUCUUGGUUUAUUGUUACAGGAAGAUCUUUGUUCAUUGCUGGGAUAUGUGGAAUUUUUCUGGGAGCUGGAAUCCUCAUGUUGUGUUUGUUCCUGAUCAGGGUUUUUAAGAAGAAAGCAUUGCUUGAAGCUAGCCAUGUCGAAGGAACCCCUUCUGGAAGAGAACCUCAGGAGGAAUCCAAGUAUUCCAGCCAUAUCUACAGCAAUAUUUUCCCGAUGGUAAGAAACCCUUAUUUCGGCAAAAACAAUAACAACAACCACCUAGUGAAAAGAUACAUUAAAAAAGCCAAUGUAUUGAAAAGGGAUGCCAAAUAACUAAAAACAGAGAUCAGCAAGCUUAUGUCCAUUAAUCUUUUAGAAACCAUCAAACUCUGUCAAGGAUCUUGGAGUACUCAACUCUAAUGAUCUAAGUGCUAGAGCCCA
rnacentral:lncRNA from 1 species